rnacentral:rRNA from 1 species
CCCUAGUAACUGCGAGUGAAGCGGGAAAAGCUCAAAUUUAAAAUCUGGUGGCCUUUGGUCGCUCGAGUUGUAAUUUAGAGAAGCGUCUUCCGCGCUGGACCGUGCACAAGUCUCCUGGAAUGGAGCGUCAUAGAGGGUGAGAAUCCCGUCUUUGGCACGGAUGCACCAGGGCUUUCGUGAUGCGCUCUCGAAGAGUCGAGUUGUUUGGGAAUGCAGCUCAAAAUGGGUGGUGAACUCCAUCUAAAGCUAAAUAUUGGCGAGAGACCGAUAGCGAACAAGUACCGUGAGGGAAAGAUGAAAAGCACUUUGGAAAGAGAGUGAAACAGUACGUGAAAUUGUUGAAAGGGAAACGCUUAAAGUCAGUCGCGUCGACCGAGACUCAGCCUCGCCUCGGCUUGGUGUACUUCUCGGCCGACGGGUCAGCGUCAAUUUUGGCCUUUGGAUAAUGGCAAGGGAAAGGUAGCACCUUUACGGGUGUGUUAUAGUCUUUUGUCGCAUGCGAGGGUCAGGAUUGAGGAACUCAGCAUGCGCCUUUUGGCGUCGGGGCUUCGGCCCACGUUACGUGCUUAGGAUGCUGGCGUAAUGGCUUUAAACGACCCGUCUUGAAACACGGACCAAGGAGUCUAACAUGCCCGCGAGUGUUCGGGUGGAAAACCCGUGCGCGAAAUGAAAGUGAAAGUUGGGACCCCUGUCGUGGGGGGCACCGACGCCCGGACCAGACCUUCUGCGACGGAUCUGCGGUAGAGCGUGCAUGUUGGGACCCGAAAGAUGGUGAACUAUGCCUGAAUAGGGUGAAGCCAGAGGAAACUCUGGUGGAGGCUCGUAGCGAUUCUGACGUGCAAAUCGAUCGUCAAAUUUGGGUAUAGGG